GCGAAAGCGGCAGAGGAAAAUCUGUCUUAUCGUGCCUCGAGGCUGGGAUAAUUUGUGAGGUCAAAGCCAUCCAGUGCAAGCCCUAGACAAGCAGCACAGAAAGGAGACGAUCGAGGCGAGAUGGUCAUCU
rnacentral:ribozyme from 1 species